UACGGAGGGGGCUAGCGUUGUUCGGAAUUACUGGGCGUAAAGCGCGCGUAGGCGGACCUGCAAGUCGGGGGUGAAAGCCCGAGGCUCAACCUCGGAACUGCCUUCGAUACUACGGGUCUCGAGUCCGGGAGAGGUGAGUGGAAUUCCUAGUGUAGAGGUGAAAUUCGUAGAUAUUAGGAAGAACACCAGUGGCGAAGGCGGCUCACUGGCCCGGUACUGACGCUGAGGCGCGAAAGCGUGGGGAGCAAACAGG
rnacentral:rRNA from 1 species